UAAGAGGUCCCGCCUGCCCUGUGACUAUAUGUUUAACGGCCGCGGUAUUUUGACCGUGCAAAGGUAGCGCAAUCACUUGUCUUUUAAAUGAAGACCCGUAUGAAUGGCAUAACGAGGGCUUAACUGUCUCCUUUUUCUAGUCAAUGAAAUUGAUCUCCCCGUGCAGAAGCGGGGAUACAACCAUAAGACGAGAAGACCCUGUGGAGCUUUAGACAACAGGGCAGACCAUGUUAAUAUAAUCUAAUUAAAGAACAAAACCAAUUGGACCCUGCCCCUAUGUCUUUGGUUGGGGCGACCGCGGGGGAACAAAAAGCCCCCAUGUGGAGUGAGAGUACUUCUCCCACAACCAAGAGCGACAGCUCUAAGUAACAGAACUUCUGACCAUUAAGAUCCGGCCAAGCCGAUCAACGAAACGAGUUACCCCAGGGAUAACAGCGCAAUCCUCUUUUAGAGCCCAUAUCGACAAGAGGGUUUACGACCUCGAUGUUGGAUCAGGACAUCCUAAUGGUGCAACCGCUAUUAAGGGUUCGUUUGUUCAACGAUUA
rnacentral:rRNA from 1 species